rnacentral:rRNA from 1 species
AUUGAACGCUGGCGGCAGGCCUAACACAUGCAAGUCGAACGCGUGGCGGACGGGUGAGUAAUGUCUGGGAAACUGCCCGAUGGAGGGGGAUAACUACUGGAAACGGUAGCUAAUACCGCAUACCAUCGGAUGUGCCCAGAUGGGAUUAGCUAUUAGGUGGGGUAAAGGCUCACCAAGGCGACGAUCCCUAGCUGGUCUGCGAGGGUGACCAGCCACACUGGAACUGAGACACGGUCCAGACUCCUACGGGAGGCAGCAGUGGGGAAUAUUGCACAAUGGGCGAAAGCCUGAUGCAGCAAUGCCGCGUGAAUGAAGAAGGCCUUAGGGUCGUAAAGCACUGUCAGCGAGGAGGCGUUACUCGCAGAAGAAGCACCGGCUAACUCCGUGCCAGCAGCCGCGGUAAUUC